CCUACGGGAGGCAGCAGUGGGGAAUAUUGGACAAUGGGGGGAACCCUGAUCCAGCCAUGCCGCGUGUGUGAAGAAGGCCCUCGGGUUGUAAAGCACUUUCAGUGAGGAAGAACGCCUGGUGGUUAAUACCCAUCAGGAAAGACAUCACUCACAGAAGAAGCACCGGCUAACUCCGUGCCAGCAGCCGCGGUAAUACGGAGGGUGCGAGCGUUAAUCGGAAUUACUGGGCGUAAAGCGCGCGUAGGUGGCUUGAUAAGCCGGUUGUGAAAGCCCCGGGCUCAACCUGGGAACGGCAUCCGGAACUGUCAAGCUAGAGUGCAGGAGAGGAAGAUAGAAUUCCCGGUGUAGCGGUGAAAUGCGUAGAGAUCGGGAGGAAUACCAGUGGCGAAGGCGGCCUUCUGGACUGACACUGACACUGAGGUGCGAAAGCGUGGGUAGCAAACAGGAUUAGAUACCCCAGUAGUC
rnacentral:rRNA from 1 species